rnacentral:rRNA from 1 species
UCUUCCGCAAUGGACGAAAGUCUGACGGAGCAACGCCGCGUGAGUGAUGAAGGUUUUCGGAUCGUAAAACUCUGUUGUUAGGGAAGAACAAGUAACGUUCGAAUAGGGCGGCACCUUGACGGUACCUAACCAGAACGACACGGCUAACUACGUGCCAGCAGCCGCGGUAAUACGUAGGUGGCAAGCGUUGUCCGGAAUUAUUGGGCGUAAAGCGCGCGCAGGCGGUUUGUUAAGUCUGAUGUGAAAGCCCCCGGCUCAACCGGGGAGGGUCAUUGGAAACUGGGGAACUUGAGUGCAGAAGAGGAGAGUGGAAUUCCACGUGUAGCGGUGAAAUGCGUAGAGAUGUAGAGGAACACCAGUGGCGAAGGCGACUCUCUGGUCUGAAACUGACGCUGAGGCGCGAAAGCGUGGGGAGCGAGCAG